CAGGACAGAAGGAACUCGCUGAAUGGGAUACCUGUCAUCCUGGACUGUUGGGCUAUAUCCAACUCAAUGAAUCCACAUCAAGAUCAAGGUGUAUAAUAUAGUGACUCAACAAUUCUACACACUACUCAGUGCUCACAUGUUGCUUUUCUAGGUAUAAACCUACUUGUCCACACUGAGACAGUGGCCUCCAGAGUUUAUGCUAACUAUGGAAAACAAGCUCAAUUCAGGCAUCCAGGCAAUUGUAUAUGUGUAAGUAUGACAUUGACUGAUAGAAG